CCCAUCACUCUGGAGGCACCAUGGGCCAGGAGGCCAUGAGGAAGCAGCGGCAGCACUUGUCAGAGCCCAGAAGGGCCUGGUGGGGGAAGCAUCAGGCAGUCACUUCACUUACUGCUCAUUAAUAUUAUGUACUGCAGCUGGGGGACCCCCAAGUCAAAGGGAGCUCAGAGAGGCCUCAGCAGCAGUUAAUGGCUCAACAACUUUUUAAACAGCUGGAGUGGUGAUCCAGAAGCACUUGGAGAUGGAGGGGGUAGUCGAUUUCAAAUCAUCAUGAAAUUUCUUCAUGUUUAAAUAAUCCCCAUAGCAGGAGUAGACAGACGGUCUAUAAAAAGGCAUUUUCACACUCAUCUCUCUCUCUUAUGAUAAACAUUUCUUGUAAGAAGAAAGCUUUAGCUUAUACCUACAGGGGUCUACAAGAAGAAAAAGCAGCUGUUGGAGAAGAGAUAAUAAUCCUAUGCUUCUUUCCAGAGGGUGGUUUUAUGAGAAAACCCACAAUUUUAUAACUGGUACAUUUGAUGUUGGAAGAAUGGAACAUGCAGAGGAGAAAACUAAGGAUUGUGUUCAUGUGGGCUUCCAGGCCAUCAAGAUGCCCUCCAACCUGAAGCAGGAAGUGAACAAUGGCUUGAUCAAUGUGGAAGAAACUUCAGAAGCACUGAUAAAGACAGGACACAUUAAGUGAGUGUAUAUACCAUGUGAGGAAACCUGAGCAGGGCUUCUGGAGUGCCCAGUUUUACACGGGCAGUGGUUACACGGGGUCACACUGGUCGGUGGCAUAAACAGUCUUUGCACACUGCACAGAAGGCAGAUCUACCCCACCUACUGGGGAUGUAACCUGAACCGCUGGACUUGAAUGCAACAGUUGGGUAUGUGCACAUUUUUCUAGAGAUAAGUUUCAUGAUGCGCGCCAGAUUCCCCAGAGGGGUCACUGUUUUAGAGGCGUUGUGGAGGCAGAAGAGCUCCAUGACUAUGAAGGAAAAGAAGAAAUUUCUGAAAAGAUGAAAAGAAUCUGUGGGAGGGUAGAAUAGUUUUUCUUAGAUUUAAAUAAAGCUAUUUAUUCCUUCUGGGGAGUGUGGGUUUGAUGAGAGGGUGUCCCUAUAUGUCAAUGGCACCAUUGUCCUUAAAGUAUUAAAGCAGUCAGAACUCAAGAGACUUGUCUCACCCUCUUCUCUUCCCCAGGACACGACAGUUGAAUCUGAGACUUAGACAAAUGGAGUGACUUAUGCAAAACCACACGGUCCAGAGCUGGGAUAAAUGAGAAUCCAGUUCUCAUUCCUUUUCAUGGUCCCUCCACAUUAGUUCACAGAACAUCCUAUCAAAAUGAUGACUGUUACAGCAAAGGGUCCCCACAAAAACUCAAUAAUCCACACAUGAUCAGUGGAAGCAAUGCUUUGUCAUCUGGCUCCAGUGAGUUUUAUAUAAGAAAUAAUCCUCUCUAAUGCUUUCUCUGAUUCCCAGCUUUGCAACAUUCUCUUUCUAUAAGAAAAGAAUUGAAUGGAUGUUAACUAGACUUACUGUGGUGUUCAUUUCACAAUAUAUACAAAUAUUGAAUCAUUUUGCUGUACA